rnacentral:rRNA from 1 species
AGAGUUUGAUCCUGGCUCAGAACGAACGCUGGCGGCGUGGAUAAGACAUGCAAGUCGAACGAGAGAAUUGCUAGCUUGCUAAUAAUUCUCUAGUGGCGCACGGGUGAGUAACACGUGAGUAACCUGCCCCCGAGAGCGGGAUAGCCCUGGGAAACUGGGAUUAAUACCGCAUAGUAUCGAAAGAUUAAAGCAGCAAUGCGCUUGGGGAUGGGCUCGCGGCCUAUUAGUUAGUUGGUGAGGUAACGGCUCACCAAGGCGAUGACGGGUAGCCGGUCUGAGAGGAUGUCCGGCCACACUGGAACUGAGACACGGUCCAGACACCUACGGGUGGCAGCAGUCGAGAAUCAUUCACAAUGGGGGAAACCCUGAUGGUGUGACGCCGCGUGGGGGAAUGAAGGUCUUCGGAUUGUAAACCCCUGUCAUGUGGGAGCAAAUUAAAAAGAUAGUACCACAAGAGGAAGAGACGGCUAACUCUGUGCCAGCAGCCGCGGUAAUACAGAGGUCUCAAGCGUUGUUCGGAAUCACUGGGCGUAAAGCGUGCGUAGGCUGUUUCGUAAGUCGUGUGUGAAAGGCGCGGGCUCAACCCGCGGACGGCACAUGAUACUGCGAGACUAGAGUAAUGGAGGGGGAACCGGAAUUCUCGGUGUAGCAGUGAAAUGCGUAGAUAUCGAGAGGAACACUCGUGGCGAAGGCGGGUUCCUGGACAUUAACUGACGCUGAGGCACGAAGGCCAGGGGAGCGAAAGGGAUUAGAUACCCCUGUAGUCCUGGCAGUAAACGGUGCACGCUUGGUGUGCGGGGAAUCGACCCCCUGCGUGCCGGAGCUAACGCGUUAAGCGUGCCGCCUGGGGAGUACGGUCGCAAGAUUAAAACUCAAAGAAAUUGACGGGGACCCGCACAAGCGGUGGAGUAUGUGGCUUAAUUCGAUGCAACGCGAAGAACCUUACCUGGGCUUGGCAUGUAAUGAACAACAUGUGAAAGCAUGCGACUCUUCGGAGGCGUUACACAGGUGCUGCAUGGCCGUCGUCAGCUCGUGUCGUGAGAUGUUUGGUUAAGUCCAGCAACGAGCGCAACCCCUGUUGCCAGUUACCAGCACGUGAAGGUGGGGACUCUGGCGAGACUGCCCAGAUCAACUGGGAGGAAGGUGGGGACGACGUCAGGUCAGUAUGGCCCUUAUGCCCAGGGCUGCACACGUACUACAAUGCCCAGUACAGAGGGGGCCGAAGCCGCGAGGCGGAGGAAAUCCUGAAAACUGGGCCCAGUUCGGACUGUAGGCUGCAACCCGCCUACACGAAGCCGGAAUCGCUAGUAAUGGCGCAUCAGCUACGGCGCCGUGAAUACGUUCCCGGGUCUUGUACACACCGCCCGUCA